CCUUGCAAAUAUACCACUUUAUGCUUUUGUUGCUUGGUCUUUUAUUUUAGUCCCGACAAAAUAUGUUAGCACUGAAAUUGGUCCCUACAAUAUUCAUUUUAGUCCUUAUUUUGUGGGACUAAAAUCAAAUGUUCUAUAUUUUACAAGGACCAAUUCCAAUACGAAUAAAUUUGGUAGAGACUAAAACCAAACAUUAGGGACCAAAAGUAAAAAUUUGUAUGUUUGCAAGGA
rnacentral:pre_miRNA from 1 species